GGGGACGUACAAGAUUCGACAGUCCGAAGUUCUUUGACAUUGCAGGCCGACUUUGAACAGGAGUCGCAAAACACGGUUCAAAAACUAAAUGCUGACGCUGAACAAGCCCAAGCAGCCUAUUUCGCGAAGAGACAGUUCGCUGUUCUUUACGCCUAAGGCCAUCGUUUGAAUGUUUCUUUGGUGACGUUCUUACGGUGUAAACAAAGCCAAGGUGCAGUUAGCGUGGUUUGAUGUUCCACUCUGAUGAAGCCCAAUACAUCUUGAUCUUUUUUAGCCUGUCAACCGGCCACAAAAAAGAUGACAAUAUUGAUUGACUACGCCUGUAGAUAUGUUAAGGGAUAUCGUUCUGGACGAGAGCUCAUUACUCUCCGUCUCCACAC
rnacentral:tmRNA from 2 species